rfam:Theobroma cacao cultivar Matina 1-6 chromosome 2, whole genome shotgun sequence.
AAUCCAUGGUGAGGACAUCUUCUCAUCAAAUCCUUAUACCUUUCCCAAACCUCAUAUAGUGAUUCAAAAUCAAAUUGUAUGAAAUAAGUGAUAUCAUUCCGCAUCUU